rfam:Comamonadaceae bacterium CG1_02_60_18 cg1_0.2_scaffold_4480_c, whole genome shotgun sequence.
GGAAACGUGACCGAGUGGCCGAAGGUGCUCCCCUGCUAAGGGAGUAUGGGGUGUAGAGCCUCAUCGAGGGUUCGAAUCCCUCCGUUUCCG